UACAGAGGUCUCAAGCGUUGUUCGGAUUCAUUGGGCGUAAAGGGUGCGUAGGUGGCGCCGUAAGUCAGGUGUGAAAUUUCGGAGCUUAACUCCGAAACUGCAUUUGAUACUGCGGUGCUUGAGGACUGGAGAGGAGACUGGAAUUCCUGGUGUAGCGGUGAAAUGCGCAGAUAUCAGGAGGAACACCGGUGGCGAAGGCGGGUCUCUGGGCCGAUACUGACGCUGAGGUGCGAGAGCGUGGGGAGCGAACCGG
rnacentral:rRNA from 1 species